rnacentral:lncRNA from 1 species
AAAAAAUGGCAUUGAAAGAAAAAGUCCCAAGUGUGAAAAAAAUUUUCUCAGAAAUUUUGAUUAGACCUCAAAAGACUGAGCAGAUGUAUCGAUUUCAUCCUAAAUUACUGAAAGUCGUUAUUGAAAUUAUUGAAAUAAAUAUUAUGUGAUAAAAAUACAGCUUGGAAGAAAUCCAGCCCACACAAGGACAAAAACAUUUUCUGUGGUAAAUGAUAGAGGCAGUUAGUUACAUUAGAAGAGAGACCUCACCAAUAUCAGCCCUGUAGUGGGCCCCAGGAAAAUGAUUUGGUCCCUAGUCCUUGCUUUUCUUGAGAUAGAUACAUUUUUGGAAGGACCAAAGAACCAAUUAUAUUUGUGUUAACUUAGUACCCAAUGUCCUAUUCUAGCAUAUUAACCGAAGGCCUUCAGGUUAUGUGAAACAAAAGAAUUUUGUGAGUGUUCACCUGGGCUUCAGGACAUGGGAGGUUCCAGGCAACCAGAACAGCCUGACGCACACUGAAGGAGCAAUCAGACUGGGUUUGGUCUCAAAUCUGUGACUUCAGGCAAGUUACAGAUUUCUCCAAACUCCAGUUUUCUCAUCUGCAAAAUGGUGAUGAUGAUAUCUGUCUUGUUAUCUUACUAGGUUGUUAGAAGGACUGAAUGAGAUGAAGUAGAGGAAAGUCUUCUAGGACAGGGGUCCUCAACCCUUGGGCCACAGACUGGUGGCAGGAGGGCUGCACAGCAGGUGAGCAGUGGGUGAGUGAGCAAAGCUUCCUCUGUUCACAGCCUCUCACCGUCACUCACACUACCACCUGAGCUCUGCCUCCUGUCAGAUCAGCAGCAGCAUUAGAUUCUCACGUGAGUGUGAACCCUAUUGUGAACUGCAUAUGCGAGGGAUCUAGGUUGCAUGUUCCUUAUGAGAAUCUAAUGCCUGAUGAUCUGUCAUUGUCUCCCAUCACCCCCAGAUGGGAUGCCUGGUUGCAAGAAAACAAGCUCAGGGCUCCCACAGAUUCUACGUGAUGCAGUUUUCACAGAUUUGUGGCCAGAUGCUAGAGACAAAGGCUGAGAAGUUGUCCAGGACGUCAUAUUCUUGCUUUGCUGGAGGCAGAUCUGAAGGAUGUCAUCUCUCCUGUGGCUUCUUCUAGUGUGGGGUCCCGAAGCCUGGCUUCCCCAGCCGAUGUGCUGCUUUAGUCAGCGUCUGCCCUGGUCCUUCGGUUCGCAGGCUCACACGCUUUUUUGGGUUGUGUCCCUUUGGACUGCAGAGGCUACGUGUCCUGUGACCAACCACGAAGGCGGCCACUCCCGCUCCCCUCAGGAGUGUCUUAAAAUACCUCCAUUUUAGCUACCCUAUUGAAUGACAGGUUAGCUGGGUGCUGGGUUUUCAGGUGAUGGACAUUUUCCCUCAGUCCUCUGAAGGUGUUGCUGGCUUCAGGCAUUGAUGCCGCCACUCUGAUUGUUGUAUGCAGUGAGCAAACUAGAAUUUUCUCUUGGCUUUCUAGAUUUUCUUCUUUAUAUUCUGAAACUUUAUUA